UACGGAGGGUGCGAGCGUUGUUCGGAAUCACUGGGCGUAAAGCGCGUGUAGGCGGCCUUGUAAGUCUGGUGUGAAAGCCCGGGGCUUACCCCCGGAAGUGCACUGGAAACUGCGAGGCUAGAGUACCGGAGAGGAAAGUGGAAUUCCUGGUGUAGCGGUGAAAUGCGUAGAUAUCAGGAGGAACACCGGUGGCGAAGGCGGCUUUCUGGACGGACACUGACGCUGAGGCGCGAAAGCUAGGGGAGCAAACGGG
rnacentral:rRNA from 1 species